rnacentral:rRNA from 1 species
AUUGAACGCUGGCGGCAUGCCUUACACAUGCAAGUCGAACGGCAGCACGGACUUCGGUCUGGUGGCGAGUGGCGAACGGGUGAGUAAUGUAUCGGAACGUACCAUUGAGUGGGGGAUAACGUAGCGAAAGUUACGCUAAUACCGCAUAUUCUCUCCGGAGGAAAGCAGGGGACCGCAAGGCCUUGCGCUCUUUGAGCGGCCGAUAUCAGAUUAGCUAGUUGGUGGGGUAAAAGCUCACCAAGGCGACGAUCUGUAGCGGGUCUGAGAGGAUGAUCCGCCACACUGGAACUGAGACACGGUCCAGACUCCUACGGGAGGCAGCAGUGGGGAAUUUUGGACAAUGGGGGCAACCCUGAUCCAGCCAUGCCGCGUGAGUGAAGAAGGCCUUCGGGUUGUAAAGCUCUUUCGGCCGGGAAAAAAUCGCAUGGGCUAAUAUCCUGUGUGGAUGAUGGUACCGGAAUAAGAAGCACCGGCUAACUACGUGCCAGCCGCCGCAGUAACAC